ACUCACUGAAAAGUUAGAACCUAAACUUUGUCACUUUCUAACCCUAGCAGCCUGAUUUGAAACUCUGAGUUUUUUCGUUAAGAUCUGAUCUUAUGGAAGCCUCUGAAAGAAUGACUUUGAUCCGCUUCACUUCAGUCUCUACUGUGAUUUCUUUGAUUAAAAUUGACAGGAACCAUGAAGAGAAACCGUGCACUCCCAAAAUCAAUAUGCCGAAUGGGUCUAACGUUGAUACUGAAAUGCAAGUUUUGGCUGUCAUAGGUUUUCACGAGAAUAUAGGGAGAUAUUAUUCUUCGUGGAUUGAGAAUGAACAUCUCCAUAUUCAGAUGGAACUAUGUGAUCAGAUGAAAACUGUCCGAACUAUCAACAUUACUUCUGAACUAUCAGGUUCUUUCUCUUGAUGAUGAUAUGAUCGUUUGGAAAUCCAAACAGGAUGAUUUUGAUCUACACCAUAUCAAUCACCACUAUGAUUUUCUUGAUUAAAAUGAUUAAAAAAGACAGGAUCGAUCUUUGGUGAAACUAUCGAAGAUGCCAUUGCAGAUUUUGUAGUAGAUGAAGAGGUUGUCAUUUUUGAGGAAAAAGAUUUUCUUGAGUAUUUAACAAACACGAAUAAGUAAAGUUAUAUUCUGUUUUCAAUUUAAUUAUGAUUGACAUGAGUGAAAUUAGUUUUAGAACUGAUUCAUUAUAUUUGAUGAAGUCUGAUGGUUAUAAUAAAUAUUAUAGUUGCAAUGCCUAAUGUGGUAAUAGAUUAUGUUUGAAAUUAA